UAUAAAACAAAAGCUUUUUAAGUAGCCUUCUGCUGCCCCACUAUGAUGGUAAAUUGGCUACAUAUGCUUUGUGCUCUCCUACGCUUGGUGACAUGGUUAGGCAAGUUAUAAUAGUAACUUGGCUAGAUAUGUUUCGUGCCUACACUUAAUGACAUGGUGCAACAUCAUAAGGUCAUUAAUCAUGGUUUCCUGCAACAACAUCAACAAUUUCCUCCUAGAAAUUCUCUUAUAUGUACUUAAAAUAAUUAUUUAAUGAGGGUAUAUGUAUGGCCAAAGCCAAUGACCAGUCUUGGUCAGCAUCAGCAUCAUCUAUAAUAAUAUACUCAUAAGCAGGUUGUUACACAUUCUUCUCUAUGGUUCAUCUUCCUCUCACCAUCAACAUUCCAUGAAACUCAUAUGUCUCUAUAUUAAUUCUUCUGCUUAUCAAAACCCCACUUAAGCUCAUCUACCUCUCCAUUGUGACCAAUAAAACCUCUAGAUAUAUCUCUCUUAAGAACAAUUUGUGCGCCUCAUUCUUGAUUUUCUUGGCUAGUUCCCAAUGUAAAAUUCUCUGCCAUUUACCUUGUACACCAUAUCAACUCGAGCACGUUAGAUGAGAGAUAUAAUUAUAUUUUUCCAACAUAGUGCAAGCUUACUAUUCCUUAUAUAAGCAGGAGAGUCUUCAAUGUGGAAACAAAAACUUUAAUAAAAUGCUUGAGUCUUGAUAGAUGCAUUGAGCUACAAAAAAGACGCGUGUGAUGUCCAUGGAAUUGUUAAAGCUCUAUUUGAAUCUUAGCGUGGGUGCAAACGGAAGUCAACAUAAUCAUUUCACUCGGAAAAAUGCAAGGUUCAUCGGUUUUCUGUGGUUAUUUUUGUUUCUCAAAAAAAAAACAAUCUAGUAAAACUGAUUACCUUUUGCACCCAUGCUAAGAUUCAAAUAGAGCUUUGACAAUUCCAAGGAUAGAUACAUUGAGUUUCACAUAACAUUUUAAUAAUUUUAAUUGUUUCGAUAUUCCUUGAUAUCAGCAAAAGCAAAAUUAUUAAUUAUUAAACCGACUCUUACAUCUGGUUCGCUUGAGUACGGUACGUCUCGAGUCUGGUUAAAUUCUCCCAAAUACGAUAUAUUAAGGGGUCCAGUCAACAAUUUUGUCUUACCUCGAAUAGUGUUGGGUUUGCGGGUCAACCCGCCCCGACCCCCCCGUUCCGCAGCGGAUCGAAUCAUUUUUUCGAUUCAAAAACUCGAUCCGCAUAACCUGCAAACAAAAACUUUUAUAUCCGCACCCGCCAUGCCAAAACCCGCAGGUAAUAUUAAUUAUAUUAAAAAUAAUUAUUUUAAUUAAAAAUGAUUAUUUUUUAAUUAUAUAAUAAUUAUUUUAAUCAAAAGUAAUUAUUUUUUAUUUAUAUAAUAGUUAUUUUUAAAAAAUACUAUUAAAAUAAAAUAUUUACAAUUAAAAUUAUAUAAAUAUUUACUGUUUUUUUAUAUAUUUUACGAAAAAUGUUUUUUUCAAAAAAAAAAACUUUUUUUUAGUUUGCGGGUUGGCGGGUACCCGCGACUCAAAUUCGGCUGACCCGCACCGUCCCGCUCAAAAUAAUCUCGACCUGCACCCGCACCUGCGAUUUAAAAAUUUCAAAUGGCUUGAUCCGCACCCGUUCCGCGGCGGAUCAAACGGGACAGAGCCCGUAGGCGAUUGAAAUUUCCAGCUCUAACCUCGAAGUACGUUUAUACAUGAAUCUAGGUGUUCGUGACUCAACAAUACAAAUUCAUGUCCACAUUAUACAUCAAAAUGUACACACGCACAAUGUCUUUUUGCAAAUACUUAA